CAUAACUCUGCUCUCUCUCUCUGCGAAGCCCUAGGUUCCUCUACACAACUCUGCUCUCUUCCUCUCGCGUUCGAGCCCUAACUUUCUCUCUCUGCUCACUCUCUCUCGUCGAAGCCCUAUCUUUCUCUCUAUGUUGUCUCUCUCUAGAUGAAGAAGAUGCCGACAAGAUUAUGCUGUAGUUUUGAUAUAACCUCCCUAUUCGAGUUCUCUCUCUGGUUCGCCUUUCUAUUCGAGUUUUCCCUCUGGUUUGGACACGACAAACAAACAUUUGGAACCACAAUUUCUUCGAAUUUCAGAUGGCUAUACACCUCAAUUUGGAGCAAAAAAUUAAGGUAUCUAAAUUCCAAUAGCUUCACCAGAUCAAUACCACCUUCCAUUGGAAACUUAUCAAAACUUUAUUGGUUGGAUCUAGUUAAUAAUAAGCUUACAGGAAACUUAUCUAAAUUAGUUCUUCUCUUACUUUAAUUUGUUUUGCUUACUUAAGCUUCCAUCUAUUAUUUACAAUCAUUUUGGAAUAAAUCAGCUUUCUGGUAAAAUCCCAUCCCAGCUUUUUAGCUCAAACAUGGAGCUAAUGCAUUUAUAAGUUUCAUUGAAUUGUCUAGUUACAAGACUUAUACAUUUGAGUCUUUAAGAUGCUGCUGCACCUACAUUUUUGCAUACUUGAGUCUUUAACAACCUCUCGCAUUUCAGUGAGCUGUAGACAAGAAAAAACUCAUCAACUUAAGCCUCUAUACUUGUUUUUUAGGAAUUCCUCAUUAUCCUGCAUUUUCUUUUUUUGUUUACCAAUGAGGCUUUUAAUUAUCCACUUUCAGGUACUUGUCCAAUAAUAAACUGACUGGUCCUAUUCGCAAUCUUACUGGCAUGAAUUCUCUCAAUUAUGUGCAAGUAUAAACCAUAUUACAAACUGCCCGAGCAAAAUUGGAAGAGGCCUUCUUCUGUUUGGUCCCCAGUAAGUAUAUGUUGCCCCUACAAAUGAAAGAUUAAAAGCAUUACCCUUUUGUUCUUCAUUCAUUUUUUCUCAUGUCUUAGGGAACGUUUCUUCUCAUUAUGGUCCACCUCUUGUACCAGAAAUAUGAGUCUAAUAUUGUAUAUGGGAAUGUAGACAAAGAUUGCCUGUUGUACUUGCAUCUUGGUAACAUUAUAUGAAAAAAAAAAAAAAAAAAAAAAACCCUUAAAUUUUACAAAAGUAAGCCUAAUAUACUGUUUUAAGGCAAGAAUCCAAGAAGCUAGACUGAUUUUUAGUUAAUAGUUAUGGAUCUUAUAACAAAACUAGUUUACGAUUGAAAGAUCCUUAUAUGUUUUGUUACUGAAAUUAAUGGUUAGAAGGAUUUAAAAGAUUAUGAUACUUAACCACUUCAGUCUCAUUAUGUAUUUUUGUGAUAUAAUUACAGGUUUCAUCCUUAUUUUGUUUAAUUUAAUUUUUUUCCUGAUGAAACAAGGGAUUUGGCUCUUUCCACUUGCAGGGUCAUUAUUUUGGUUCAUGUGGAAUGGGUGUCUUCGUAUCUGAUUGGUUCUGUUGUUUUGCUUCUACCGGCAUCUGUUCUUGGAUGAAAUGAUGCAUGGGUCAAACAUGGUUUCAUGAUUCCAAGCCGUCAACAUGCAUCCUCAUUGUAAAAGAGCAGAAAUUACUGAGGAAAAUAAUGCACAACUGAAGGAGGAAGUAAAAAGUUUGCGAAAAUAUAUGGAAAGAAUUGAGAAGAUGCUUCAGCAGCAGCAGAAGAUUCUGAAGCUAUAUCAUGACUAGCUUAUAUCUAGCUCUUUUUUGUCAUUGAACUAGAGAUUCUGUUGGGCUUUUUGCAUUUAGUUUAAAAUGAUGCUUUGAUUUUUGAACAUAUUGGAAGAGGUUUAAAGUUUAUUUUUAUACUU